rnacentral:rRNA from 1 species
AUCAUCUACAUAGACGAGGAAGCUUACUGGCGCUUGCGAGGCUCCCAGAAAUGGGUCCUGAAGGGCGAUGCGAACACUGCCUAUUUUCAGGCCAUAGCUAACAGUCGCCGGAGACGCAACACCAUCCCCCUCCUCUGGGACGGUCCGUCCCUUCUGCAGUCCCCGUGCGACAUUAGGACUCAUGUCGACGGAUUCUACCGAUCCCUUUUCUCUGCCUCUCCUAGGAGCGGCCUGUCUCUGGCCCUCGACUGCUGGUCCGGCCGCCAGUGUGUUUUAGAUGCGGAGAAUGCCGCCCUCACGGCUCCAUUCUCGGAGGAUGAGGUAUGGAUGGCCAUUAGAGGCAUGAAUCCCUCCUCGGCCCCGGGUCCGGACGACCUUUCGGUGAAAUUCUUCCAGACCUUCUGGAAUGUGAUUAAGCCGGAAAUCAUGGCCAUUUUUGACGAGUUCUACGUUGGGACCAUCGACCUUGGUCGCCUCAACUAUGGGAUCAUCUCGCUCAUUCCCAAAGUGCCGGGGGCCUCCGACAUUCGCCAGUUCCGCCCGAUCACGGUG